rnacentral:ncRNA from 2 species
UCUCAAUGCUAGGGGUGCCUGUUUUGAACGGGCUGAGAUUAGACCCUUUGCACCUGAGUCCGGAUAAUACCGGCGGAGGGAAGCUGUUUAUUGAGGAA